rnacentral:pre_miRNA from 1 species
UAGCAGCACGUAAAUACUGGAGUAUAGGAUUGUCUGAAUGCCCUCCAGUAUUACUCUGCUGCUUUA